AAGUCGUAACAAGGUUUCCGUAGGUGAACCUGCGGAAGGAUCAUUAACAAUUUUACCCAUUUCUAUGGAAAAUUAAAAAAAUCCAUUACCUACCUUUAUGUGCACUAUAAAAAAUGUUUUACUUUUGGGAAUGAAUUAUUUUUAUUCCCAAAGGUGUUUUUUUUUCAACUCUUAUUAUUUUUGACUGAAAAUUUUUGUUAUAAAAACAAAUAUAACUUUCAACAACGGAUCUCUUGGCUCUC
rnacentral:misc_RNA from 1 species